rnacentral:ribozyme from 14 species
AAGGAAGCAAGGUUCGUAGACUUGCAAGUAUUGUUUUUUUUUCUUCUUUUUUUUUUCUUCUUUUUUCUUUAG